rnacentral:rRNA from 1 species
UACGGGGGGGGCAAGCGUUGUUCGGAAUUACUGGGCGUAAAGGGCUCGUAGGCGGCCAACUAAGUCAGACGUGAAAUCCCUCGGCUUAACCGGGGAACUGCGUCUGAUACUGGAUGGCUUGAAUCCGGGAGAGGGAUGCGGAAUUCCAGGUGUAGCGGUGAAAUGCGUAGAUAUCUGGAGGAACACCGGUGGCGAAGGCGGCAUCCUGGACCGAGAUUGAC